rnacentral:tRNA from 1 species
GCCCAUGUAGCUCAAUGGUAGAGCAGGCGCUUCGUAAGCGUCAGGCUGUCGGUUCAAGUCCGACCGUGGGCUCCA